rnacentral:rRNA from 1 species
GAUGAACGCUGACAGAAUGCUUAACACAUGCAAGUCGAUGGGGAAGUGGUGCUUGCACCAUGGUAACCAUGGCGGACGGGUGAGUAACGCGUAAGGAACUUACCUGCGGGACCGGGAUAACAGCAGGAAACUGCUGACAAGACCGGAUAAGGUCAUUAAGCUGCAUAGCUUAGUGAUGAAAGGAGACGCCUGCGGAGAGCCUUGCGUCCUAUUAGCUAGUUGGAGGGGUAACGGCCCACCAAGGCGAAGAUAGGUAGCCGGCCUGAGAGGGUGGACGGCCACAAGGGGACUGAGAUACGGCCCUUACUCCUACGGGAGGCAGCAGUGGGGAAUAUUGGACAAUGGGGGCAACCCUGAUACAGCAAUUCUGUGUGCACGAAGACGGUUUUCGGAUUGUAAAGUGCUUUCAGCAGGGAAGAAGGAAGUGACGGUACCUGCAGAAGAAGCGACGGCUAAAUACGUG